rnacentral:rRNA from 1 species
GUAGGUGGCAAGCGUUGUCCGGAAUUAUUGGGCGUAAAGCGCGCGCAGGCGGUUCUUUAAGUCUGAUGUGAAAGCCCACGGGCUCAACCGUGGAGGGUCAUUGGAAACUGGAGAACUUGAGUGCGGAAGAGGAAAGCGGAAUUCCACGUGUAGCGGUGAAAUGCGUAGAGAUGUGGAGGAACACCAGUGGCGAAGGCGGCUUUCUGGUCUGUAACUGACGCUGAGGCGCGAAAGCGUGGGGAGCAAACAGGAUUAGAUACCCUGGUAGUCCACGCCGUAAACGAUGAGUGCUAAGUGUUAGGGGGUUUCCGCCCCUUAGUGCUGCAGCUAACGCAUUAAGCACUCCGCCUGGGGAGUACGGCCGCAAGGCUG